rnacentral:lncRNA from 10 species
GCAUAACUCGCAGCUCUCCUGGAAGUGAAUCACGAGCUUUCCUGGGUGGAGGUAGCUGGAAGAGGCACCGAACCCCACCGAUAAGACCACAGGGCAGGGCAGGGGCACCAGAAAAGACCCUCCCCGCUCUCUUGGAUGUAAGGCCGGGCCAGGUUUUGGUUGAAGGUCACAUUGCUCCUGGGUCAGAGAACUAUAACAUCAAAGCGCCUUUAUGGAAACAAGACAGACGCCAAGGACCAUCUGCCAAUUGUCAGCUGACUAUCCAGCGAUAUAACCACCACCACUGGCAGACCAGGACAAGGUCCAGGAAUUUUCCAGUGCCCAUGAAUCUACCAACACCUGGGUCUGUAACAGCUACUAUCAUGCUACGGGCCUCACUAGAUUAGCUUCAGAAACACCUGCAAGAAUGCAGGGCCCGGUAGGCAGAAUUUUUAGAUGACCCCCAGCUCCCAGUGACUCUUGCCUUUGUAUAAUCCCCUCUCCUCUGAGAACCUCUGAAUAUGAUGAAAUAUCACUCCCAUAAUCAUGUUACAUUAUAUGGCAAAAGUGAGAUCAUCGUGGGUGGGCUUGACCUUAUUAUGUGAGCCCUGUAAAAGCCGAGAGUUUUCUCUGGCUACUGGCAGAAGAGGAAGGCAGAGUGACAUGCUCCAGGAGGCCUAGAAGAAAGCAAGCAACCCUGUGGGCUGCCUAUGGGGGCCACAUGACAAGGAACUACGAGUGGCUUCUGGAAGCUGAAAGCAGUCCCCAGCCAAUAGCUUUCCAGAAAAUGGAGCCCCAGCCCUACAACUCCAAGGAACUGAAUUCUGCCAACAACCAGUGAGCUUGGAAGAGGGUCCCAAGCCUCAGAUGAGAACCACAGCCCCAACAAACACCUUGAUGUCGGCCCAAUGAGACCUUGAGCAGAAAAUCCAGUGACAUCAUGCCAGGACUUCAGAUCUACAUAACGGCACACAGCCAUGUGAAGACACAGCAAGAAGGCAGCUGUCUACAAGCCAGGGAGAGAGGCCUCACCCUAAACCACCCCUGCCAGCAUUUUCAUCUUGGACUUCAAGCCUCCAGAACGGUGUCUUCUAGAGAAACCCAAGCUAAGACAGAGACUAAAGGACAAGGAAUAUGACCAAGGUCACACUGCUGUUCAAUGCCAAAGCUGGGUCUAUGUGCUGACUCCUGACUCCUUCUGCCAACAGCUCAUUCUACUGCCCAGCACAGAGAACUUUCAUGGUAAUCCCAGGCCCAGGUUUGCAUGAGAGCCUUUCCCUGUGGAUUCAAAGAAAGAGGCCCCCUCACCCUUAGUGAGGGGCUGGGCCAAGCCUGCAAUGUGAGUGCCAGGACUAGGGCCCCUUUCUUUUCCUUCACCACUGUGCUUCAUCCAAUUACUGGGUCCUUGCAUUAGCACUGCCCAUCCCUGGGGCAUUACUUCUAAACCAUUUCUCACCACCUCCCUUUGGAGCCCCAAACGUUCACCUCCCAAUACAGACAAUUCCAGCUGAAAGAGA